rnacentral:rRNA from 1 species
AUUGAACGCUGGCGGCAUGCCUUACACAUGCAAGUCGAACGGUAGAGUAGCAAUACUUGAGAGUGGCGAACGGGUGAGUAAUAUAUCGGAACGUGCCCAGUUGUGGGGGAUAACGUAGCGAAAGUUACGCUAAUACCGCAUACGAUCUAAGGAUGAAAGCGGGGGACUCGCAAGAGCCUCGCGCAACUGGAGCGGCUGAUAUCAGAUUAGGUAGUUGGUUAGGUAAAAGCUCACCAAGUCGACGAUCUGUAGCUGGUUUGAGAGAACGACCAGCAACACUGGGACUGAGACACGGGCCAGACUCACAGGGGAUGCAGCAGUGGGGAAUUUUGGACAAUGGGCGCAAGGAUGAUCCAGCAAUGCCGCGUGCAGGAGGAAGGCCUUCGGGUUGUAAACUGCUUUUGUACGGAACGAAAAGGUCCUGGCUAAUACCCGGGUCUCAUGACGGUACCGUAAGAAUAAGCACCGGCUAACUACGUGCCAGCCGCCGCCGUAAAUC